rnacentral:lncRNA from 1 species
CUGGGGUUUAAAAUGGAACUAUUACUUCUGAAUAUUGGAAGUUUCUCAUUAAGUAAGCCAUACAUGUACUCGAUGACCCAGUACUUUUCAGUUCUAGGUAUUUUAUGCAAGAUACACAAAUGUAUGUCAAAAAAACUUGUAUGAGAAUAUUUAGAACAGCUUUAUUCAUAAUUAUUUCAAAUUGCAAACCACCUAAAUGAUCAUUGUCAUGGUCCGUGCAUUUGGGUUAGAAAAAGAAUUUUCCUGAUUCAUAGCAGGGUGAAAAGAAAGAUGAGUUUACUGAGAUAAGAAAUGCUGCUAGCAUAGUGGGAUGACUUCCUGAUGAUCAGAGAGAGCUGAAUCUGAGCGUGUGAUCAUGUCUGUUUUAUAGUCUAGGGGGAGGAAAGGUCUUAGUGUACACUUGCUGAUAGGCUGAUUGGUUAGGGAAAGAGGGUCUUACGAUACACUUGCUGGUUUGUUGGGGGCAUAUAAGGUCCUUAUAGAGGUGGGGGAAGAGUGGGCCUUUCAUAGUAGGGGUCAGGAAGGACUAGGACAGUUGCUCAAGUUGGGAGGGGGCACUACAAUGAGAUGGAUGGGGCAAUGAUAAGGAUCUAGUAAUUCUUUUUGGGGGGUCUAGUAAAUCUUUAAUUUUUUUUUUAACUUUUUUUACUUUUUAGGGCUGCACCCACUGCAUAUGGAAGUUCUCAGGGUGAAAUCAGAGCUGCAGCUGCCAGCCCACACCACAGUAACAGCAACUCAGGAUCUGAGCCAUGUCUGCAACAUACACCACAGCUCACAGCAAUGCUGGAUCCUUAACCCACUGAGCAAGGCCAGGGAUCAAACCUGCAUCCUCUGGAGUUCCCAUUGUGGCACUGCAGAAAUGAAUCUGACUAGGAACCAUAAAGUCCCACAACCAUCAACAGAGAGAAGAGAUUUCUUAUUUUCAAUCUCAAGAUCAUACUCAUGGAUAUGAGAAAACCAGGGAGUGACAUCAGCAUCUUGAUGGCCUAAUUUGUUUCUUUUUCCCCAUCUCCAUUGAUUUAGACUAAAUGGAUGCCCAUAACCAAAACAAAACAAAACAAAACAAAAACCCAGCACAACCAGAUCAUCUGAGAAAUCCAUCCAUCACUGCAACCAGAAGAGAGUGGAUCGGACCUUAUCAGUGCCUACAAGAGUCAAGGUAGUCACAGUGGUAACAAUGGCAGUAGAGGCAGCUGGUGGACGAUCCAGCAGAGGUGACUGAAAAUGAAAUUCUCUCUGGCUGCUCUGGUGCAGCUGGAGGGACAUGUUCCUCUUCAUCAGCACCUGGGUUUCUGUAAAGGGACCUCUAUGGCUGGGCAGAGGGAAGAAAAAUGAAGAAGGCAGAGAAAGGAAUGUAAACAAACACAUUUGUCUGCCCUGGGAUUUCAGGGCAAGGUUCACCCACCUCUGGGACUCCCCAACUUGAGGAUGUCCCCACUGGUUUGUGUAUACACCCAAAACCCCAAUGUGCCAAGCCCACACCUUCCCUAAUUCUGUCACCAGCCGGUUUUUGUUUUGUUUUGUUUUUGCUUUUUAUUCCUGGAUUAUAGGUACACACCUAACUAUAGCAGCUAGUCAACUGUGGUAAGAGAAACCAAUGAUUGUGCUAUAGUGCCACCUUUUUGAAAAGAAAGAAAAAUUUUGAAUUGCCAAUAUAUUGACAUACUAAAUUCAAACUAAACAAAGCUUUCCCUAAAUAAGAAAAGUGUGUGCUGCUUCAGAUGAGAUCAACAAAGCACAUUUUAUAAAAUGCUUUGCAAAGUCAUGGUAAUAUGACAUCACAAAAAGAAAAUGAGUUUUCCAGCAAUUGAUCUCAAAGCCAUGGAAUAUUGUAAUCUAAUUAUUAAAGAAUUCAAAAUAGCUCUUAUUAAGUAAGUCAACAAGGUGCAGGAAAAUUCAGAGGUAUUUCAAAGAACUCAGGAAUAAAAUUAGUAAAAAGAAGGAGUACUUUACCA